AGAGACAGCAGCCGCCGCGGUAAUACGUAGGGUGCAAGCGUUAAUCGGAAUUACUGGGCGUAAAGCGUGCGCAGGCGGUUAUAUAAGACAGAUGUGAAAUCCCCGGGCUCAACCUGGGAACUGCAUUUGUGACUGUAUAGCUAGAGUACGGCAGAGGGGGAUGGAAUUCCGCGUGUAGCAGUGAAAUGCGUAGAUAUGCGGAGGAACACCGAUGGCGAAGGCAAUCCCCUGGGCCUGUACUGACGCUCAUGCACGAAAGCGUGGGGAGCAAACAGGAUUAGAUACCCCGGUAGUCCCUGUCUCUUAUAU
rnacentral:rRNA from 1 species